UACGUAGGGGGCAAGCGUUGUCCGGAUUUAUUGGGCGUAAAGAGCGUGUAGGCGGCCAGGUAGGUGGGUUGUGAAAACUGGAGGCUUAACCUCGAGCUGUCGGCGGAAACCAUCUGGCUAGAGUCCGGAAGAGGAGAAUGGAAUUCCCGGUGUAGCGGUGAAAUGCGCAGAUAUGUGGAGGAACACCGAUGGCGAAGGCAGCCCCCCUGGGUCAAGACUGACGCUCAUGCACGAAAGCGUGGGGAGCAAACAGG
rnacentral:rRNA from 1 species